rnacentral:lncRNA from 1 species
UCUUUUAUCAUUUGUUUUCAAUUCUUUCGUUUAGUUUAGCUUCAGAUCACAUAAUGCUGUUUUUCCCUGUAUAAUCCAUACAAAAUGUGUCAUUUUGUCACACAACCUGUAUCUUGAGAAAAUAUUCGUUUCCCUGUCAUAUUUGUUAUAUUUUUGAACAUUUCACAAUAUAUAAUACGUUUUGGCAAAGUCUGAACAAAUUCUAUCAUUUUUAAUCUAUACUCUCAUACCACCUUAAAGACGAUUUUC